rnacentral:rRNA from 1 species
AUGGCUUUCGUCCAACUGUUUGGGAAACCAGACAUAUUCCUUACAUUGACUUGCAACCCACACUAGGAAGAGAUAACUUGAGAACUUAAAGGUCAAUCACCACAAGAUCGGCUGGACUUGGUGGCGCGAGUCUUGAAGGCAAAAUUAGAGGAUUUAAAGGUUCUUUUGUUUAAGAAGAAAUUCUUUAGUGAAGUUGCUGCACAUCUGCACGUAAUUGAAUUUCAUAAAAUAGGCCUACCACAUGCACAUUUUUUAAUAUUUCUGAAAUCAAACUACAAGAUAGCUAAUCCGGACCAAUAUGAUGAGAUAAUAUCAGCUGAAAUUCCUGAUGAUAAAUAUCCUAUACUGCACGAUUUAGUUAUUAAGCAUGUGACGCACGUCCCGUGCUUGCAUGGAAAAUGGAAGUUGUCGGCAUCAUUAUCCUCGACAUUUCGCAGAGACCACAUAACAAAGAGAGGACUCUUAUCCAAUUUAUAG